rnacentral:rRNA from 1 species
AUUGAACGCUGGCGGCAGGCCUAACACAUGCAAGUCGAGCGAGCGGCAGACGGGUGAGUAAUGUAUGGGGACUGCCCGAUAGAGGGGGAUAACAACUGGAAACGGUGGAUAAUACCGCAUACCAUCGGAAAACCCAUAGGGGAUUAGCUAGUAGGUGGGGUAAAGGCUCACCUAGGCGACGAUCUCUAGCUGGUCUGAGAGGAUGCUCAGCCACACUGGAACUGAGACACGGCCCAGACGCCUACGGAGGCAGCAGUGGGGAAUAUUGAACAAUGGGCGCAAGCCGGAUGCAGCCAUGCCGCGUGUAUGAAGAAGGCCUUAGGGUUGUAAAGUACGUUCAGCGGGGAGGCGUUACCCGCAGAAGAAGCACCGGCUAACUCCGUGCCAGCAGCCGCGGUAAUUC